GACAGAGGGUGCAAACGUUGUUCGGAAUUACUGGGCGUAAAGCGCGUGUAGGCGGCCCUGCAAGUCGGAUGUGAAAUCCCACGGCUCAGCCGUGGAAGUGCAUUCGAAACUGCAGGGCUAGAGUCCUGGAGAGGAAGGUGGAAUGCUUGGUGUAGAGGUGAAAUUCGUAGAUAUCAAGCGGAACACCGGUGGCGAAGGCGGCCUUCUGGACAGUGACUGACGCUGAGACGCGAAAGCGUGGGGAGCAAACAGG
rnacentral:rRNA from 1 species